GAAAAGAGUUACACAGAAGAAGGUAUUGAAAAGAGUUACACAGAAGAAGGUAUUGAAAAGAGUUACACAGAAGAAGGUAUUGAAAAGAGUUACACAGAAGAAGGUAUUGAAAAGAGUUACACAGAAGAAGGUAUUGAAAAGAGUUACACAGAAGAAGGUAUUGAAAAGAGUUACACAGAAGAAGGUAUUGAAAAGAGUUACACAGAAGAAGGUAUUGAAAAGAGUUACACAGAAGAAGGUAUUGAAAAGAGUUACACAGAAGAAGGUAUUGAAAAGAGUUACACAGAAGAAGGUAUUGAAAAGAGUAACACAAGAAGAAGGAAUUUGAAGAUAAAUAACACAAGAAGAAGAAAUGUGAAGUAACACCGGAAGGAAAAUGCAGAGAAGUAACACUAGAAAAAUGAAAAUGGAAAUGAAAAGAAUCAUCCACCUUUCGGCCCAAACCAACAUCACAAAAUUAUGGGCGAGUCUCUUCUGGGAGGAAAGCGGCUCGUUCAGACCCAGGAACACCA